rnacentral:tRNA from 1 species
AGCCCCGUGGUGUAGUACCAUAUAGGAUUGCAAAUCCCAAGACGCAGAUUAACGUCUGCCGGGGCUU